rnacentral:rRNA from 1 species
UAACGACUCUCGGCAACGGAUAUCUCGGCUCUCGCAUCGAUGAAGAACGUAGCGAAAUGCGAUACUUGGUGUGAAUUGCAGAAUCCCGUGAACCAUCGAGUCUUUGAACGCAAGUUGCGCCCGAAGCCUUCUGGCCGAGGGCACGUCUGCCUGGGCGUCACGCAU